AAUUCACUCCACCAGGACCACCACCUUCACUUUAUUAAUAAAGCUAAGAGAAUAAAAUAAAAGUGAAGAGGAGAGGAGAAGAGAAGAGAAAAGAGAGUCUCUCAACCAAAAACUUCUUCUGAAUAUGGCUGAUAAAAGUGGAGGAGGAAGUGAAAGGAGUUCGGGGAAGUCUCAUGUUGUCCUCAAUGAAAGAAUUCUUUCUUCAAUGUCACGAAGAUCCGUUGCUGCUCAUCCAUGGCAUGACUUGGAAAUUGGACCAGGAGCACCAGCAAUUUUCAACUGUGUUGUUGAAAUUGGAAAAGGCAGCAAAGUUAAGUAUGAGCUUGACAAAACCAGUGGCCUUAUCAAAGUCAAUAGAGUUCUGUACUCAUCAGUCGUCUAUCCACACAACUAUGGUUUCAUUCCACGAACAAUUUGUGAAGACAGUGACCCCAUGGAUGUUCUGAUCCUGAUGCAGGAACCUGUACUAUCUGGUACUUAUCUCCGUGCACGUGCUAUUGGAUUGAUGCCCAUGAUAGAUCAGGGUGAAAGGGAUGACAAAAUAAUUGCAGUGUGUGCUGAUGACCCCGAGUUUCGGCAUUACAAGGACAUUAAGGAACUUCCUCCACACCGCCUUGCUGAAAUUCGUCGCUUUUUUGAGGACUCCUUCUGAUAAUAUCUGGAUCCGGCUACAACGUAUCAUCCAUGUAAGUAUUCUGUUUGUGUUUGAUCUACAUCCUUUACUUAUUCUGAAUAGACAAAAAGAACGAGAACAAGUCGGUUGUUGUGGAAGACUUUCUGCCUCCUGAAGCAGCAAUCGACGCUAUCAAAUACUCCAUGGAUCUGUAUGCUGCCUACAUAGUGGAUGGCUUGAGGCAUUGAUUCACUUCAUGUUCUUCCAAGUGUGUAGAUUUUUGGUAAAAAGGCUCUAUCAGAACCAAUUUACAAAUUCCAUUUGGAAUUUUCUUGUGCUUGAAAACUAUGCCUUGCUAUUCUGUGAAAAAUGGAAAACAACCUAAGGUUUAAAGGUUUUAUUGAAAAUAAGCCGGUGAUACUGUUAAGUUGUCUUUAUGCCGGAAAAUCCAUAUUACUAUUAGAAUAUUAUUAAUGAAAAUAAUGUAAAAUCAGAGGGUAAGCAUUUAUCA